GAAAUGCGAUAAGUAAUGUGAAUUGCAGAAUUCAGUGAAUCAUCGAAUCUUUGAACGCACAUUGCGCCCGCCAGUAUUCUGGCGGGCAUGCCUGUUCGAGCGUCAUUUCAACCAUCAAGCCCCCGGCUUGUGUUGGGGACCUGCGGCUGCCCGCAGGCCCUGAAAAACAGUGGCGGGCUCGCUGUCACACCGAGCGUAGUAGCAUACAUUCUCGCUCAGGGCGUGCUGCGGUUUCCGGCCGUUAAACGACCUUCAUAACCCAAGGUUGACCUCGGAUCAGGUAGGAAGACCCGCUGAACUUAAGC
rnacentral:misc_RNA from 1 species